rnacentral:rRNA from 1 species
GGUUGCGAUCAUACCAGCACUAAUGCACCGGAUCCUAUCAGAACUCCGCAGUUAAGCGUGCUUGGGCGAGAUUAGUACUAGGAUGGGUGACCCCCUGGGAAGUCCUCGUGUUGCAACCC